CGGUUUGAAUUUGAAUUCGCCCCCGAACUGACUCCAAUUUUCACGUUGCCCAUCACUGGAAACCCUAAACCCACUUUGCAUCCCUGGUUUUCUCGAUUACUCGAUUAGUGAGGGAUGGCGACAUAACAACCAAACUAGCGUUUCGGAUGCUUGUUUCUCCGAAACGCUAGUAAAAUAUAGAAGACAUCCCUCCUAUGGACAUCUUUCAGACAUCUGUAAAUACGGAACUACCCUGAAAACACGGAGGAUCAUUUUGGGACAUCAGGACAAGGCCCAACGAGGGAUCACACCCACACAUACUACCGAACAGCUUGUUGCGAUGUCUUCUUCUUCCCCAGCUGGACAUCGGAUUGUAUUUGUUUUGGUUUUUUUGGGUGGAUGACCACUAAUGGACUUGGAAUCUCGUCGCGGGAGCCAGGAAACAGAAGGGGAAAGAACUACUAUAAACUGUCCCAUCCUACACGGUGAACUGAUCUGCGGCGCUAUUUUUCUAAUGGACUGUCCUCGACCUUGGAACAUUUAACGUUUAACACAAAACAAUGACGGAAUCGACUCUUUCCAAUUUCGACUCAGUCUGGGAGUCAGGGGUGUCAUUUUAUUUAGUAAUCAAAAAUCCACGUUUCUUCCCUCGCCAUCAUCCCAUCGACCUCUCGAUACAUCUCAACCGCCGUUCGUCAGUCAAGGACACCGAGGAAUCAUCCGGAAGCUUCUGAGACUCCAGUUCUUAAGAAACUCAGGACUCCGGAUUUCGGUUGUAUUGGCGACUGCCUGAAGAAAAAGGAUCUUUUUACGUCCCCCCGACUGUUGCUCCUGUAUCUCGAUCGCAAAUCUUCCAGUUUGCUUGAACCCAGCUGAUGUCGUCGAGAAAGAAACACAGUACAGAACGUUUUCUUGCUUUUCUUACUUUCCUAAUCCAAACUAUUUCUCGUCUUUCCCCCAGAUCUUUCUGCUGUUCGCCUACCGGUCAGACGAGGACUCCAAAAAGAUCUAUGGGAAGAGGAAAAUCCUGUUGGAGCCUGGUCACAGGACGCCAUCAGAUAUAUUGUGGGCUUUUGGGGGCAAACCCAAAGCCUCCGCGCUCCCACCCAACCGUAGCAGCCGUAGGUGACUCCGACUGCCCCUUGGACCGGUCACCGUGAGAUAUCUUGGAACCGUUUACAUGUUCCCUCCCCUCUGAAAGAUAUUCUACUCCAUAUUCAUUGUAGUAUCAUUUAUUUACUUAAAUUAUUUACAGGGCUUCAGCUUCCCGUAAGGAAACCCAUCAAGCACCGCCCGCCGGGUGCGACAGUCACCAAAGGGAUUUACGUAGACUGGUCUGUUCUCUUUAUUUCGGUCCCUACCUAAAAGAGCUCUCUUAAGGGGAUCCCAGACCCGAUUAUAACCUAUUCGACGCGGUCGCUGGAGAGGAUUCCCCAUGGGAUUAACAAGUACUUGGCUUUGACGGUUUAAAUGUCAAGUCUCGCCCAGAAGGAGCGAUAAGUGGCAAAUAACUAAAUAAACAAAUGUGGAAAAAACACUCGCCGUGAAUUGUUCACAUCCGGCAAUAAACAGUUUAAAAUUGGUGAUAUAAUAAAUAAAUAAUAGUGCAAUAUGGGUGUAUCUAUGUGCAAUAUAUAUAGGUUAAUUUUUAAGUGUUAUAUAAGAUCCCCUCCCCCAACAAAAGAAUACAAAUAAUUAAAUAAACAAAUAACUAAAUAAACUAAGGGACAACACAACAUAAAGCUAAAAAGACUAUUUCGCAGUAAGCCGCCGAUCUUUUCCAGGUCCGGUUGGUGAUGUAAUUCCACGUGCCGUGACGCGCAAUCGAAUCCCCCACCGAUUUCUCGCGGGCACGACAGGUUCCUCCAGGUAGCUAGCGCUGGAGGCACCGGGCUCGCCGAUGACGUAAUCUCCGGCCGAGAACCGGGGUUACUCCAAGAAAAACUUGGCCAGGCCCUAAUUAAUGGAACCUGGCCACUACCUUCCACGUCUCUUCUCGCUGGCCUGAAAUGGGAUUCCUAUUGGAAUUUUCUU